rnacentral:rRNA from 1 species
AUUGAACGCUGGCGGCAGGCCUAACACAUGCAAGUCGAGCGAGCGGCGGACGGGUGAGUAAUGUAUGGGAAACUGCCUGAUGGAGGGGGAUAACUACUGGAAACGGUAGCUAAUACCGCAUAACAUCAGAUGUGCCCAGAUGGGAUUAGCUAGUAGGUGGGGUAAUGGCUAACCUAGGCGACGAUCCCUAGCUGGUCUGAGAGGAUGACCAGCCACGCUGGAACUGAGCCACGGUCCAGACUCCCACGUGAGGCAGCAGUGGGGAAUAUUGCACAAUGGGCGCAAUCCUGAUGCAGCCAUGCCGCGUGUGUGAAGAAGGCCUUCGGGUUGUAAAGUACUUUCAGCGAGGAGGCGUUACUCGCAGAAGAAGCACCGGCUAACUCCGUGCCAGCCGCCGCGGUAAUAC